rnacentral:rRNA from 1 species
GACGGGGGGGGCAAGUGUUCUUCGGAAUGACUGGGCGUAAAGGGCACGUAGGCGGUGAAUCGGGUUGAAAGUGAAAGUCGCCAAAAAGUGGCGGAAUGCUCUCGAAACCAAUUCACUUGAGUGAGACAGAGGAGAGUGGAAUUCCACGUGUAGCGGUGAAAUGCGUAGAGAUGUGGAGGAACACCAGUGGCGAAGGCGACUCUUUGGCCUGUAACUGACGCUGAGGCGCGAAAGCGUGGGGAGCAAACAGG